AAAAAAAUAAAUAUUGGAAGACAACAUAAACUAGUGGGAGUAAAAUAAUCUUGUGCAUAGUUUACCCUUUCUUGUGCUUCAAAAAAAAAAUGGACAAGGCAGUAAGCGAAAUAAACGACCUAAAUAGAAUAAAUACAGAUCAAACAAAUAAAAUGAUAUAAUAUCGAUCAAGAAGAUUUUGCAGUUUUAAUACUGCUUAUAUAGUUAAAACAGAUAAAAUGUGAUUUUAUUAUGUAUAAUUUAAAUCAGAGAGAGCACUAUUUUUAGAAUGUGAAAUAAGUAGUUUAUUAGAUACGAUAAGAGUACGACACAUGCAGAAAGCGUUCCUAUUUCUCCUGGCCAAUUAGUUUAUUUUUUUUGUAAGUUAAAAGGAUUAAAUUCGAGUAUAUUAAAGACACAGACUUAAUUUUCGGAUGGGAGAUGCAAUCUACGGAUAGAUCAUCUUUCGGUAUUCAAAUGGACCAUAAACAUAGGCCCAUAUCUGUGUGACCACAUGUGAAAUUAAUAAUUUUGUACUAAAAGAGAAUCGAUCCCUGGCCUAGACCAACAUCACAACUUCUCCCCUAAUAGAAACUACUAGUCCACCAUAAUGGGGUUCCAAUUAGUUUAUAUUGAUUGACGUUAUUAAAAGUCCAUACAUAUCAGCAAGUAAAAUAAAUGAUUUUGCAUGCUACGUCAAAGCAUUAUCAAUUUAUUCACACUAGCGAUAAACCAAAACUUUAAUAGUAAAAUAAUGGUUGUCAUCAGUUUUGACCAGUCGUAUAAAUCUGGGAGGUUUUUGUAUAAAUUCGGUUGAUCCGUCGAUAUACACUAUAUAUUACUACUUGGUGAUUUGAUUAGAUCCACACUAUGAAUUACUAUUUUGUAUGUCGACAUGGUAUGUGAAACCAGGACAACAUAUGAUAUAAUAAAAUGAUAUUGAUGAUCUCACUUUAUUUUGGUUCACCAUUGAUGAUCUCACAAGAAUACAAAUACAACCGAUUUCUUUGAAUUUUUCUUUUAACGUGUGAGAUAAGCAUACGUGUGGAAAAAAAAAAAAAGCAUACAGAGCACCUAUGUGUCCAUCAUGGAUAGUCCAUGUUCAUAUAUAAAUUAGACCCUUAAUAUAUAUGGAGUUGUCCUCAGUUGUCACACACAAUAUAUCGACAUUAAUAUAUGUUCUUCGAUAUUUAGAGUUAAGUAUAAGAUUUUUGUUAUGUGGUUUAACCUCUUAUAAAAAUCCGAAUCCAUUUUUCAAUAUUUAAGUUAUAUUAAAGAUAUUUUUAAUAGUAUAAAUAUCUAUAUCAUUUUUGUCAGAUUAAAAAAAAAAAUAGGUGACCUUUUGUCUAGAGAGAGAAUGUGAAAGUUCUGAUGGCAACGCGCCGUGCUUUUCUAGAUUAGUAGCGGGUUCGAAUUCGAGUAUUUUAGAGAUUCACGGAACGCCUUGCGCCACCCGACCACUGACGCGUGUUAUUGUCAGAUAAAUAACUUGAUAUGAUAUCAACGAUUCAAAAAUAUCGGAAUAGGUUCAGAUUUAUAACAGUGCAUACCACAUGAAAAUAAAUCUUACACUUGUAUUAAAAAAAAAAAAAAAAGAGAAUUUGCAUUGUAUACACAAACAAUAUUGCGAAAUUAGCAAUCUACCAUUGAACACUGUUACAUACUUUUCUUAAAAAUUAAUGACUCUAAUACCCCUAUUUCUAAAACCAUCAUCUUCUUCAAUCACCUCUGGAUUUUCGCAAACGAACCCACCGUCUCUCCAUUCCUCUCCCUUCCUUCUCCUCCGCCUUCUUCUCCUCCGCUGCACUCGCCUCCGGAUUCCCGCCUCCACCGCCGAGAGUCUCCACCAAGGGAUCCGCCUCCACGACGCCCAGCUCCGCCACGACGCCGUCUCCCGCCACCCCGAUCUCCUCUCCCAGCUCUCUUCCCUCUCUGACACGGAGAUCUCUGUCUUCUCCCUCCGCUCCUCUGUCUCCUAUCUUCUCCUCCGCCGCACUCGCCUCCGGAUCCCCCGCCUCCACCGCCAAGCUAUCCACCGAUCCUCGUCGCCCAGCUCCGCCAUGGCUUCGACUCCCGCCACCCAGAGCUCCUCGCACAACUCUCUUCCCUCUCCGACGCGUCUCCGUCCUCCGGCGCAUUUCCGUCUUCCGGUGCGUUUCCGUCCUUCCGAUAAACAAGAACGAGUCUUGUCACGUACUGCUUCACGGUGACUCCUGUCGAAAUCGAGGAACUUUGUGUUGGGUUUCAAAUGAAGGCUGGAACUUUGAGCGAAAGAAAAGGAUUGAAUAAAGGAAUGAGGAGUUGCAGCAAUGGAAGACGUAGUCACGGAAGAGAGAGAGGAGUAAUGGUUUGCUGGUGGAGCAGAGAGAGAGAAAUGUUAAAAAGACAAAUAAAACUGAAGGUUAGAAAUGUCAUUUAAACUCCUAUAGGUAUACUGUACACCUCAAUGUUUUUUUGUUUUGGUAGUUUGCUAAAUUCCCAAUUGUUUUCAGGUAUCUACCUAAUUGACUCAAAGAAAUUUAUCAAUUUUGAUCUAUGAAUGUUGUUUGUGUGACAACCCCAUGUUUAAGAAAUCAUUAAGUCGUAACUAAGGGUUUUAUAUAGUAUCAAUGACUAAGCAUAUUAUUUGGGAGUUUAAUGGAUUAUCGAUUUAUUUAUAUAUAUACAGUAUAACCUCUUUAAAUUAAUACUCUAUAAAUUAAUAUACACUAAAAAUCUCUAUAAAAUAAUAUAAUUUUAUAGUCCCAAAUUGAGUUUUUGGUUUAGUUAGUAUAUCGAUAAAUUAAUAUCUCUAUAAAUUAAUAAAAAAAUUAUAGUUUUGGUGUAGUCAAAACAUUAUUAAUUUAUAGAGGCUUCAUUGUAUAUAUGUUAUAUUUAUAUUAGAUAUUUUGGGUGUAAUUAUAAAUUAUUUUCGAUAAAUUAUAAAAUUAGACAAACAAAACAAGAAAGUAUAAAAUAUUUUGGAUUUACGCUAUUACUAUUAUUUGAAAUGGUAGAUUUAAAUAUAUUUAGAUAGAUUAAGACAUAUUUUAAUCGGUUUAAAAAAAUUAUAAUCCGAUAUA